GACGAACGCUGGCGGCGUGCUUAACACAUGCAAGUCGAACGGUGAAGCGCCUUCCUUUUUGGUGGGUGUGGAUGAGUGGCGAACGGGUGAGUAACACGUGAGUAACCUGCCCCCUUCUUCUGGAUAACCGCAUGAAAGUGUGGCUAAUACGGGAUAUUCUGGGUCUGUCGCAUGAUGGGUCUGGGAAAGAUAUUGUUUCGGUGGGGGAUGGGCUCGCGGCCUAUCAGCUUGUUGGUGGGGUGAUGGCCUACCAAGGCGGUGACGGGUAGCCGGCCUGAGAGGGUGGACGGUCACACUGGGAAUGAGACCCGGCCCAGACUCCUACGGGGGGCAGCCGGGGGGAAUAUUGCACAAUGGGCGCAAGCCUGAUGCAGCGACGCCGCGUGAGGGAUGGAGGCCUUCGGGUUGUGAACCUCUUUCGCCAGUGAAGCAGGCCUGCCUCGUUUGUGGGUGGGUUGACGGUAGCUGGAUAAGAAGCGCCGGCUAACUACGUG
rnacentral:rRNA from 1 species